AUACGAAAGGUGCAAGCGUUGUUCGGAUUUACUGGGCGUAAAGAGAGUGUAGGUGGUUUAUUAAGUCGGAUGUGAAAUCCCGGGGCUCAGCCUCGGAACUGCAUUCGAUACUGAUAGGCUAGAGUUUGGGAGGGGUAAGCGGAAUUCCGUGUGUAGCAGUGAAAUGCGUAGAUAUACGGAGGAACACCUGAGGCGAAGGCGGCUUACUGGACCAAUACUGACACUGAGACUCGAAAGCGUGGGUAGCAAACAGGAUUAGAUACCCUAGUAGUCC
rnacentral:rRNA from 1 species